CGCCACCACCGCGAGAAAGCAGGCAUCGCCUUCACAGCCGACAAAAGCUACGGCCUAUGGCGGAUACGGUCGCCCCUCCACUGCCUCCCUUGCCGCGCUGUCUUCUUCAUCUCAUCGCUUCCCAUAGUUGUGCCAGUUGGAGACCCUUCUGUUGCUGAAGGAGACCUACAUAAACUAUAGUUAGCCGCUAAGUUAAACAAGCCACGCGCUAGGUCAGAACCUAGCAGGCUUAAGGAUCAGUAAAAUGAUAUCUGUUCAACAUGAGGCACAACGAUAUCUAUCUUUCAAGAAUCAAUAAACUGAUAUAAGAGUGAGCGCCUCUCAACUUGAGUGGAUUAUCUUGUUUCUAUGUUUUUGUUUAUCACAUAGACGAAGUUAAUGCUUAAUCCCCAGAGAUGCAUAUAACCAAGUGGCACUUACUUGGAUCUGAGAACCUCUAGUGCUUGUUUAUCUCAAGUAAGCCUUUUGAGUCUUAAUGUUUCAUUGAAGAACAUCAAUGCUUAAUUGCAAGUCAAUGUUGUAAUUCUUGAGAAGUCAUGGAAGCUUAUAAGAAGAAAGGAUGGGCUCUAACAAAUCAUUUACCUAAUUUACCAGGUAUAUCAACUAUUUUACCUAGAUUUAUUCAGGAAAAUUUACAUUUAGCCUUUCUUUGGGAGAAUCUUACUUUUUAACUUAUGGUGCACAAUUAGUCCACUUCUUUUGAGAACAAGGAGGUUCAUCAUGAACCAGUUGUUCACAAUAUGCUAAAUUGUUAGAAAGUUAACUACUAACUACAAUGAAACCGUUUUUUAUGAAACAGUUAUUAUUUUGUCACCACUUGCAAUACAGAAGACAAAACUCAUGAAAUUUGAUAGAUGUAAUCCUCACAUUUGAACCAUAGUAGUGCAGUGCAGUAACACAAGAAUAGUUUCAUUCAUUAUCUGCAAAGUCAUCCCUUAUAGUUGUCAAUGAACUAUCAUGUGAAGACAGAAUAAGAACUUUGUGAUUCUCACAUUUGCGAUUGCUUGUUUAUUUAUGUGUCUGAAUAAAAGUGUUACUAUAAAAUAUUUGACCUAUUUUGGAAAUUUUAUUUAUUGUGUAAUCAUGGCCUAGAUGUUUAGAUUAUUGAUUAGCAGAUUUUCUAUGCAUUAUUCUGAGUUUGUAGACAACAGACAUGGGUGUCUUUUGAUAUUAAUUGUCAGGUCAAAGGUCAGUUUUGUGGAAAAUAUACAAUAUGUUAAUAUCUUCAAUAGUACAAGAUCUUGUACUACAUGUCAAUGUUAAUAUCGACUAAUUUCUUGAUUAUUUUCAAUAGGAUGGGAGAGUGUCGAAUGCUUUUUCAGAUACUAUUUCUUGGUCCGUCAAAUCUAUUUGAGCUAAAUGCAAGUUUUUGCUCAAAUGUGGCAAAAAAUGAUUGUCUCACCAAUUGUGAGCACGACUGCCUCCAACAAAGUUAGAAUGUAACUUCUUUUAACAGAUGCAAAAUCUGGCAUUAUUAUAUCCUUUUUUACACAUACAUAUGACCUUUGUGAUAUCUCGUAAUGUGAGGUGUUCAACUAUGUCUAACUACUAAUUAUUGCCUUCACCUAUUUGUAUAGGAAAAGAUGGAAUAGAACUUUGGUGGCCGCACAUGUGUGGAGACUAGAAUUCAUAUAUACUUAGUUAGGCUCAACGUUAACGCAAACAGUUGAUAACCAAAAUUUUCAAUUAGUACUUUAGUUUGAAUUUAGAUUACACUUUUGUAUGAGUUAUUUGACAAUGCUUAUUUAUUAGAUAUUGAAUGAUACUUAUCUAUAUUAUAUUAAUUAUAAUGUUAUU
rnacentral:lncRNA from 1 species